CCUUGACUUUCCUGGGAGUUGUCUUUUCCUGACAACAUGGACGACUGCUGGACAUAAUAUCGACUAUUUGUUGAUGAUUUGUAUAUUAAUGAAUGAUUGUAGAUAAUUUUUGAAGUCAGCAGUAUCAGCUAUUAACUCCUGUCACUCACAGUUUCCAGUACGGUACCAAUAAUCAUGGCAACGAUGCUGAAAUCUGGUCAAUUGUUAAAAGACGCAGCAAGAAUCUUUACAUCUUUGAUGCCAUCAAUAACAGCAAAAUCAGGUCAACAUAUCGGCGUGUAUAACAUUACCUGUCUACGAACAUUUAGUGUAGCUUCAAAUCCAGCCAUUUACAGAAACAAUGUGCCGCAAAAUCAAACAAAAUCAGCGCCCUUAUUACAAAAAAAUACAAAUAUUUUCAACCCAUUUGUGCUUCAUAGCCAAGUUCGACAUUACAAAUCUAAAAACAUUUUACGUCUUCGGUGCUCGGGUUGUUAUUUUGUGAAAAAAAAUGAAAGACUUUUUGUGGAAUGUAAAUUAAAACCACGACACAAGCAGAUGAAGAAGAUGCCAAACUGGGCGUUAUAUAAAGAAGAUUAUUCGGAAGGAAAUAUAAAAAGGGCGCUGCAUUGGAAUUAUUUUCACGAGAGAGAUUAUCAGAUGGGAAAUAAUAAAUUUGCGAAGUAUAAUUGGCUAGAAGGAAAAUUAGGACAUACAUUAUAGAGAUGGAUAGAGAGAAUAGUAGUAUAAAUAGAUAUAUUAUAAAUAGAAAUAUUAAAUAUGGUUUGAUUUAAGAUACAAAUGUUAUGUAAGAGGUCUUUUUUCUCGUGGGGAGGGGGAAUGGUUAACGCAUAAUUGAGUCAAGUGACAUGGUUUCGAUUUUCCACUUGUUUGUGACAAGGAGUAGGCCCGUCUGUACAACCUCGUAGGUUCUCCGGGUCCCCCGCUUUCCCGCCACUGCUACUAACCCCAACCCGCAAGGGAAUUAUUGAAAUAAAAUUGAACCAUAUGUUAGUCCCGUCAUGAACUAUUUUGUGUCAAGUGAAUGUUAAACCCGAUUUCUCUCUCUCUCUUUUCUGGCUUCAGACGUUAAUGUUAUAUUCACAUGAGAAGCUCCGAAUCAACUCUCAAGAACAUCUGAUGGCUGCGAUAUUACGUGGAUUAGACCAUCUGUACCAUUUAAUUAACUUUAAAAAAGAAUAUUAAGAUUUUGUUUAUUAUUGUAGUAAUGACAAUCGAGACUGUUUAUUAUUGUAGCAAUGACAAUCGAAACUAGGCUAUUUGAAUGAAAUUUUUAAUAUGUUUAUUUGUCGUUAUCUUUUUUAAACUAUUACAGUAUUUCAAGAACGACCAUCUCUUUAUCUAUAUCUAAAACAUUUUGUUUUUUAUUAAAGCAAUAACAAUUGAGACUAUACACUAUUUGAAUGAUGCGCUGUAUCAUAAAGUCUGUCAUUGAGUCAACUGGCGUGGUUUCGAAUCCCCAGUUGUACGUGACAAGGAGUAGGGUCACCUGUCCAACCUCGUGGGUUUUCUCCGGGUCCUCCGGUUUCCUCCCACUGCUAAAGACCCGUACGCGCAAGCGAAUUAUUG